rnacentral:rRNA from 13 species
AAAUUGAAGAGUUUGAUCAUGGCUCAGAUUGAACGCUGGCGGCAGGCCUAACACAUGCAAGUCGAACGGUAAC